rnacentral:rRNA from 1 species
AUGAACGCUGGCGGCGUGCCUCAUACAUGCCAGUCGCGCGAACAGACGAGGAGCUUGCUCCUCUGACGUUAGCGGCGGACGGGUGAGUAACACGUGGAUAACCUACCUAUAAGACUGGGAUAACUUCGGGAAACCGGAGCUAAUACCGGAUAAUAUAUUGAACCGCAUGGUUCAAUAGUGAAAGACGGUUUUGCUGUCACUUAUAGAUGGAUCCGCGCCGCAUUAGCUAGUUGGUAAGGUAACGGCUUACCAAGGCAACGAUGCGUAGCCGACCUGAGAGGGUGAUCGGCCACACUGGAACUGAGACACGGUCCAGACUCCUACGGGAGGCAGCAGUAGGGAAUCUUCCGCAAUGGGUGAAAGCCUGACGGAGCAACGCCGCGUGAGUGAUGAAGGUCUUCGGAUCGUAAAACUCUGUUAUUAGGGAAGAACAAAUGUGUAAGUAACUAUGCACGUCUUGACGGUACCUAAUCAGAAAGCCACGGCUAACUACGUG